CGGUUGUAACUUAGUGGCGAACGGGUGAGUAACGCGUGAACAACCUGACCCAAAGAGGGGGAUAACAUUUGGAAACAGAUGCUAAUACCGCAUAAGACCACAACGUCACAUGGGCAAGGGGUCAAAGGAGCAAUCCGCUUUGGGAGGGGUUCGCGUCCCAUUAGGUAGUAGCGGGGUAACAGCCCACCUAGCCAACGAUGGUAGCCGAGCUGAGAGGCUGAUCGGCCACACUGGAACUGAGACACGGUCCAGACUCCUACGGGAGGCAGCAGUGGGGGAAUAUUGGGCAAUGGGCGCAAGCCUGACCCAGCAACGCCGCGUGAGGGAAGAAGGUUUUCGGAUUGUAAACCUCUGUCGCAGAAGACGAAGGAAGUGACGGUAUUCUGUGAGGAAGCCCCGGCUAACUACGUGCCAGCCGCCGC
rnacentral:rRNA from 1 species